UACGGAGGGUGCGAGCGUUGUCCGGAAUCACUGGGCGUAAAGGGCGCGUAGGCGGUCUGUUAAGCGUGUGGUGAAAGCUCGGGGCUCAACCCCGAGUCUGCCAUGCGAACUGGUGGACUUGAGCACUGUAGAGGCAGGUGGAAUUCCGGGUGUAGCGGUGGAAUGCGUAGAGAUCCGGAAGAACACCGGUGGCGAAGGCGGCCUGCUGGGCAGUUGCUGACGCUGAGGCGCGACAGCGUGGGGAGCAAACAGGAUUAGAUACCCUGGUAGUCCACGCCGUAAACGAUGGGCACUAGGUGCUUGGGGGAGCGACCCCCCGAGUGCCGGCGCUAACGCAUUAAGUGCCCCGCCUGGGGAGUACGACCGCAAGGUUGAA
rnacentral:rRNA from 1 species